AAAGGAAAAAAAAAGCAAAACACAAAAGCAAAAAAAAAAAAAACCCAUUUGGGUCAAUGAAGGAGCGUCAGGCCGCAGCGACGGGGGAGGGGAGCGACUUAAGCAAAGUCCACUGCCUCAAAAAUGCACGUUGGUCUGUGGGAGGUGCAGGUGAGAAGCCAGAACCCAGGCGGAGAAGGGACCCCUUGCGCGUGUCACCUAAGGUUUGGCAAGCCUUGACUACGGUUACUUCUGAGUCACUCUGGUGUCCGUGUCUCAACAGCCAUCAGAACCUGGGUAAGGCGGCUGUGAGGGGGUGACAGGCAACCCUGAGACCGCCCACACCCACACCGGGCCUGGCCCUGGUAUUGCAGGGUUGAGUUGGGGGGGGGGGGGGGGGGGGCAAGCCAUGUCAUUGUUAUGCUCGCUUUUCGCCGGUUGCAUUUUUUUUUUUUUUUUGAUGUUCUAUUCUUCAAUCCUCCUGUUCUCACUUUUCUCUAGAGUAAAAAUUCCCCUUCCCUCUCCCGGGGCAUUCUACCGGCAGGGAAUUAGGGCUGCUUCUAUCUUCUUGGGGUUCAUACUGACCACCAGCCCGCUUUCACAAGAUGUAUGGGGCUCAUUCCCAGAGCAAUUAAAGCCUGUUGUUUCAAGGGAGCCUCUGGGGAAUGCUCGAUAAUGCUCACCUGGGCCGUCAUUAUGUUUCUAUCUCCAUGGAUACGUAUGUGAAAAUUCAUUGAUCUGUACAUUACGCGUGUGUGUGCUUGGCCGUUUAGAUGACAGACCUCAAGAGGGUAUAUUCCUAGAGUUCACGCAAGGGUUUCUUGAACCCCUACUAUGUGCCCAAACGCUUUGCUAAGCUCGGUGGCCACGGCAAGCUCACGGGCCAAGGAGGGGCUAAUUACAAUGUGAUAACCACUGUGGUGGAAAUAAUUGCUGAGUGCUGAGAGUCUUCAUUUAAAUCAAGCUACCCCAAAUUAGGGAAAGAGCGGCAGAGUCAGGUUUUAGGAGCUCUUUGUAAUAAUGGCAUCUGCCCUGAGUUGUGAGGAGGAGGGAAACAAGGUGGUGGGCGGGGGGGGGAAUAAUUUCUGUUGGGAGAUCAGCAUGAGAAGGUGUGCCGUUACAGAUGGGGGUGCACGCUUCCUUGUGUGCACCUGCAGGGUGCACUGAGGCCUUGAUGAUCCGCCGGGGGUAGAAAGGUUGGGGUUUUCCAGAAGGCGGUGCAGGAUCUCUGGCGCGUCUGACUUGCAUUUGAAGAGAAGCUGACAACCGGAUAGAAAGUGGCCAGGGAGGCAAUGAAAAAGCACCGUGGAAACAAUUCGGGUGUUUUUUCCGCGGAAGAAAGACUACCUUUUCCCACGUGUUGGUUCGCUCACUUGGCCCUCUGCUGCAGAAGCUUCUGAAAGAGAAAUGAUGCUUUAUUGUGUAAUCUGGCCUUUGUUUAGGACGGGGCACAGCCCCCUGGGGUACGAUAUUCUAGUUUUCACUAGACUCUGCAGCUGGAGGAGAACGUGCAGGGCAGAGCAGAAGAGGAGCCAGGUCAUCCCCAUUGUCCAGACCAGUGGGGAGGUGCUCCCAGAAACAUGAAUGUGGUUCUUCACAUUCCUUCUUCUCCCCCUGAAUUCUAACUAUUGCUGCGAGGAUCUGUGGAAGUAGUAAAAAAUGUGGACACGGCACAUCAAAGCUAAACUUUGGUUUCUCUAUGCGGUUUGCAACACUUACUAUAUUUAAGACAUAUCGGGAUGCUUGCGUGUCUCAGUCAGUGAUUAAGUGUCUGAUCUCGGCUCAGGUCACGAUCCCUGGGUUCAUGAGUUCCAGCUCCGUGUCGGGCUCCUUGCUGACAGUGCUAAGCCUGCUUCGGAUUCUCCCUCUGUCCCUCUCUCUCUCUCUCUCUCUGCCCCUCUCCUGCUCACGUUCUCUCUGUCCCUCUCAAAAUUAAAAAAAUAAAAUAAGAGAGAGUAUCUCUUAUAUCUUAUUAUGCCUACCGCAGGCUAUAUGAAAUCUUUUUUUUCUCUCGCUUAAGAUUGCUACACAAAAAUGCUGCACAAAACUGUUUGCGAAAAAACCUGGCCUGAUUGCCCUAAUCUGCCUUUUUCACCUCUGACCUCUAAUAAUUGCUGACAAUGUCACAGGAGGAGACACAUAGACACAUAAAUAGGUGCUACUCGGUGUUUUUCUUUGUCUAAUUGGCUUUGUGAUGUUUCAGCAAUUUAUUCAUUAUUAAGAUUGCAUAAAAAUAAUACUUAUGAUUACACCAAACCUUGUCCCCUAGUUUCAAGAACCUGUCAUGUUUAAAACUCAUUUGGGUAACCUCACUGUUCAGGAUUCUCUUAUGAAUUUUGCAUCUCUGUAUAUUGGGAACAGAAUGAUGAACACCAAUGAGCAAGACAAUUUGAAAAUAUGUAUCCGAGGAAAAUGAGUAAAUUGGGAAUGUAUGGAGGGAUGGUGGGGCAGGGCGUAGAAAGAGAGAAAAUAGUUGAGGCCACCGAAUCUAAGAGAUUAGAAAAUCACUUUUAGAAAAUAACACAACCCCAGCAAAGAAAGCCAAAAUACACAUAGGAACUCUUAAAAGAGUCUGCUCACUUUUGUCUUCCAAAAGUAGCUGGAAAGCUUGUAAUAGGAGAGAAAAAUAAGGAAUAAUUAAUUCUCACUUCAGGAUCGACGUAGCAUCAAGCUAAGCCUAAGAAUGAGCUAGCAGUGCCCCAGUAUUGCUUUUUUUUUUUUUUCCUUAAAAUGUUUUCUGGUAGAAUCCUACAGUGAGCCCGUGACCAGUCACAUACAAGGAGCCGUGCAUACAGGUUGCAUUGUUUAUUCGUCCAGCAAAGAGAUGCUUUUGUGUUGAUAAUAUUAUUGAAGCAAUUUUACCUUCCUAUUCUCACCAUAUCUAGUCCUUAUUCCUAAUUUUCCCUAAUUUCCUUGUCACUGAGCCAGGAGAAGUAAGCCCAGAUAAAUAGGAACCAUAUUCCAAAAUGCAAACACGUAGGAAAUGGAAAGGAAAACUGUACCCGGUUUCCAAGGCACAGCUGAUAGAAGGAAUUGGUUAUUUCUGCUUUGGGGUUGACUGUUGUGCUUAUAAGAAUUGGAAUAUCCAAACUAGAAUAGUCUACACUUGACAGGUGUCUGUCAGGGACGUGCUUACCGGAGAUGAACAACCUUGCAUCAAGAUGGUGGCCGUCUGUAUACCAGCUGGGGCACCCAGUUUAGGUAUCGCUCCCUGGUGCUACACAAAAGAGGUUUUCAAGACUUCGGAAUGGUUAAAGAGAACUGAGGUCACACUACCGUAAGAGUGUAUCCCGAAAAGGUACAAUCUGUCUAUGCAGGUGCACGUGCACGGGCAACAAGAAUCACUCCAAGACAUUAGCUUCCAAGCCCUUCCCACUGGGCUAGCAGUCACACCCAAAUCAGCAGACGAGCCACUGCCCUGGCCCUAUGCCGGAGACACCAUCGAGGGGCCGUGACUGUCGGUUGACCCACAGACUGGACCUGGGCAACUGCAGGCUCCCCACCCCCUCCCCUGAUGUAUGUUUUAUACAUCGUCCCCACAGCGCAAGCCAUUUCAAGGGUACAGUCUUGAGGGAGUCAGGUGUUGUUGCUUAUCUGGACAGUAUAUGUGACUGAACCCAGUUAAGGCCUGUUUACAGACUCAAGAUUCUGGCCAGUGGGUGUGGAGAUCUUGCCCAAGACAAGCCCGGUCUGUAAGGCCCCUGCCUGCUUAACCCGCCACCCAGCCCUCUGCAGUGGUCUGCUUCCUCCUCCAGUCUCUCCCUGCCCUCCGUGGGUGUGUACAGAGGUGGGGUGUUCAGAUUUCACCUGGGGAGCUCCCAAGGUUGUGAACCACCACCCUGGUCUACAACCUCCUGUGGGUUUUUUGCCCCUUUAUGGUCCUGGAUCUAUCUCACUGCAAUUCUACAUCAUUCAUCCCAUCUUUCUUCUUUUAGUAAUCAUGAAACGUUCAUUAAAGGCUGGUUGUGGGCUUCUAGUGAGAGAAACGAGGCUGCUUAUGUCCAUCCCGGCGCUUAGGUCAUGGGCAAGGGAACCUGCAGAAGGUAGCCAGGUGAUACACUAAUCCAGGAGGCAGAAGGGAGGCCAGCCUGGCCCCGGGAGGAAACCCUGAGCAGUCCUGAGCUAGAGGACCAAGGGGGAUGGGCCGGUGGUUGCUCAAAAGGGCCUCCCAUGUAGUGAUAAGGAGUUUGAGCUUUGGGGUCAUUGGGGGGCUUUCAGCAGGACAGUUGAAGGGCUUGGUUUGUGUUUUAGAAAGGUGUCUCUGGACAGUGGAUGAAACAGAGCCUGGCAAAACCGCUGGAAACUUCUUCCUUGUCACUAAGGUGGGAACACGUUCGGCCGUGUCAGGAGGGUGCUGGAUACUGAGGUCUGUAGCUCCGAGGGCAGCAGGCUCCUGGCCAAGGGGUGGACCCAGGCAGAGGGGGUGGAAACUCAUCUCCAUGAGUUCAGAGGCACCGGCCACAGCAGGUGGACUGCGUAUGGGAUAGAAAAUAUAUUGAGGCUUUUGGGUACGCAGAUCAGAUGGAGGAGAGUUUUGAGUACCAUUCUACAAGCUAAGUCCCUAGUCCCGCGAGCAAUGGAGAGUUCCCGAAGUUUGUGGAUGAAUCUCUUUCUGUUGUUGUUUGUUUUUACCAAGAACGUCAUAGACUCAAAACACCAGUCCCCUGGGGUCCCAGACACUCCAGCUUGACCUCCAUUAUCAAAGCAAAACUGCGGUGUGUUCGUCUUCAAACCCAGGUCUGUAAAUCAGGCCUCCAGCCUCCAGGGGUAGUCUCUAAGCCAGAAUUAGAUCCGUGGAAAGUAAUGAGAAUAGCUGUGAGAGUCACAGCCCACGGACAUCCCUUCAAAAUGUAACAGCUUGUUACCUGUUACUAAUUUUAGCUCACUAGAAAUUAGGCACAAAACCUGGUGACCCUUUAGGCUGUGAUAGUGGCCCAGGGCGUGUUGAGAACACGCACGCAAGGCGUGUCGCCUGUAUCCCUCAGGCCGUGUACGACUGGGCACAGCUGGGUGUUUACAGCCAGGCGUGUUCAUGGGGACCCCGAAGCUUUACAAGACUCAAGCGUCUUCUGAACCAUCAAAGGAGUUUUAGGAUUUAACACAGUUCAGAGUUGAGUAUGUUUGCAGCCAAUUCACUGAAACCGGAUGGUUUCUCUGUACCCCAUUUGCAUUCUCCUGCACUUUCCCCCUGCCCUAAGCCAGAACUACCCCCAAAACCGGAGGCAGAGUCCAGACUACCUGGACAAGAGUCUGGCUGGGACUGAAGGCCAUUCUCUUUUCUCUAGGGAGAAGAUACAUGUGAACCCAGGGGUGGCCUCUGCUUCUAGGGCUGGCUUUCUGCAGCCCCCCACUUCCCCUGGUGUUGGGCAGCAGGAUUUCUUACAGAAACUCUGCCAACAGCUAGCAUCCAGCAUACCUGUAGACAGUUUAUUCUCCUGUAGAUGAAGUUGCUCUCGCUCUUGCCCUAUCAGGAAGGGAGGUGGACAGAGUUGGAGCGGAGAGUCUCCUUCUGCAAGAAUGUCCACCCCAGUGGGUUCCAGAGAGGACCCUGGCCACACACCUUGUAAAUGAAGCCUGUUCCGCAGGACAAGGGGCCAUCACACAGACAUGCCCACCACCCCCAGCCCGAGAAGCAGCAUUUACAACUGCCUCUUCAAGUACAGUAACCCACAGUCCCAAAGACAGGAAACGCCGGAGUAAGUUUUAUUCUGGUCUCUCCUUUACUCUCUCCACCUGGAGUAACCAUGUGUUAAGCCAGCCCAAAACAGUGCUAGUUUUUGCGUGCUGUCUGGCAUGGUUAUUUUUAAUUUUUUUUUCCAAUUUUAUUUAUUGGAGAGAGGGAGAGAGGGAGAGAAUCUCAAGCAGGCUCUGUGAUGUCAGUGCAGAGCCUGAUGUGGGGCUUGAGAUCAUGACCUGAGCCCAAAUCAAGAGUCGGAUGUUCAACCAACUGAGCCACCCAGGAGCCCCUCUGGCAUGGUUAUUAAUGCCACUUUGCUUUCUUUCUCAGAAGUGUCUUGAUUUGGUCGAUAAAUUAUAUGGACUCCCCAUCUACCUCCAGGCUUUCGACAAUCGCUGAGGGCCCUUCUUCUUUUUUUUUUUUUUAAGUAUAUGAAAUUUAUUGUCACAUUGGUUUCCAUACAACACCCAGUGCUCAUCCCAGCACGUGCCCUCCUCAAUACCCAUCACCCACCCUCCCCUCCCUCCCACCCCCCAUCAGCCCUCAGUUUGUUCUUAGUUUUUAAGAGUCUCUUAUCCUUUGAGCCCUUCUUCUUAAAGGCUCUCAUGCCCAUAUCCCUCGUUCUCCAGUGUCAGGGCCUCCAUGCCUGCUCAAGCUGCAUCACCUGCUGCCGGGGUGCCCCCCUCCUCUUCCAAAUCCAGAUCUUCUCAGGCUGUGUUCCUCAUUCUUGGAACUAAUGAGGGUUUUCAGUGAAAGCCAAAGAAUGUGGAAUUGGGGAAAGAAUUGAACUGGAGCUAUCCGUGAGUGUAAGAUCAUGAUGUGAUGUUCUAGCCAUGCCCAUAGAAAGAGCCUAGAAUCAAUGGCACCCCAUGGCAGUGAGCUCACUUAGAGACCAGGUGUUGCUUUCUAUUUCCUGCCAGAAAAGAACAGCGGCUCCUUAGAGAAUUGGCUGAUACUGGGUCUACGUUAGGAACAUCUUGUGUGCCAGGAAGCAAGAUAUGUUCAAAGAUUAUUUAAAAAUCUAUGUCACAGGGACACAGAAGCCAGCUUGGAAAGGGAACCCACUUACCAAAUCUGGGAAACUUUGAGGAUCAAAAUAAGCAUCUUGGUAAACGAUGAUAUUGAGUUAAAAAAAAUCUUGUGGCUCCAUAAUGAUACUCAAAAGGGGUAGGAGGGAGGCUCUGCUUUAGAAAAGAUUAUAAGUUAAUAAGUAUAGACUGUAGACUUAGAAAAGCACCGUUUUGUUAACUCUCAAUGUAAUCAGUGAUUCAGGCAAUGAUCAUCAAUGACCCACUGGGAAAAAGACUAAGGAAGAUGUGUUUAAAUUUUUUUAAGUUUUUUAUGUUUGGGAGAGAGACGGAGCUCAAGCAGGGGAGGGGCACAGAGAUGAAGACAGAAUCUGAACCAGGCUCCAACUCUGAGCUGUCAGCACAGAGCCUGACAUGGGGUCCGAACUCACAAGCUGUGAGAUCAUGACCUGAGCAAGAGUCGGACACCCAACCCACUGAGCCACCCAGGCGCCCCGAGGAAGACAUGUUUACAUGAUCUCGCAGGUUACUUACUAAUUACACAGUGUGUCUUUGCAUUGGAGAUACCUCCACCUUAUCUGCACCUCAUCACGCUGAGCAUCUCCAGAAGUGGGACAAUGUGACCUUGUGAGUCCCCUGACCUGAUGUUACAGGAGGGACACAACAAACCUUGCUGGAAGCAUUUGACCUGAACCAAAUCCUAACAGAGCAACGUCCUACGUUCUACAGGUCAAUUGACCUGGAUCUUCAGGUGUUUGAUAUCGACAGAGGAACAGUUUGAGGAGAAGAGAUGUUAACAGCCAAAUCAAUGUGCGAGACUUGAUUGGAUUCUGGGUCCAAAAAAAUGCCAUCGAAGACAUUUGGAGGAAAAUAAGGAAGAUUUGAGUCCAGAUUCUAUGCUAGAUGAUUUUAUUGAAUUAAUGUUGCUUUUCUUAGGUGUGAUGAUGGUGUUCUGGUGACGUAAGAGAAAGUCCUCCUUCUGAGUAGUACAACACGCAGUAUUUGGGGGUGAAAUGCCGUGACGGCGUUUCAGCACUAGGGAAGUAUAGAUAGAGAAACAGAGAGAUGGGGGAAAUGGGUGUGGUGAGAUGUUGGUGAAUCUGUGUGAGGGGUAUCCGGCUGUUCAUUGUACUGUUCUUUCAACUUUCCUGUGGGUUUGAAAUCUGUCAAAAGAAAAAAGAAUGUUUUCUAGAAGACUGUGAGAAAAUAGGAAAUAAUGUUCUCAUAGUUUUCAUUUUUUUUUUAAACAGACAGUCCCCUUCUCUUUCCUCUUCCUCAAGACUGUGACCUUCAGUGGUUUCUUCUUUGCAUAAACUCUUGCUUGACUUAAUAUCAUUGUGACAACCCCGAGCAAGGGAAUCCAAUGAUGGCAGACACAUUGUAGCUACAGGAAAUGAGAUGUUUCUGUCUUCUCCAGAGAACUGAAGCUUUUCUUUAAUUCACUCUUCUAUUGAGCAAGAGCCUAUGUACUAGGUACUUAAUCUGUGUACUGUGUACAUUGUUCUAUGUACCCGAUCCUUAUACUUUGUACGAGAUCCUAUGAGAGGCACCAUGAGUGAUACAAAGAUGAACAUCAAUAUGGUUUCUGCCUUCAAAGGGCUUAAAAUCUAACGCACAAAAAUUGGCUCAGUGGACAGGUUUUGAAUGGCUGUUAUGAGCUAAACAGAAGACCAGGACUAGGGAUCUAAUUUUAUCUAUCUAUCUAUCUAUCUAUCUAUCUAUUUUUAAUUUAGUCCAAGGUAGUUAACAUAUAGUGUAGUAUUGAUUUCAGAAGAAGAAUUUAGUGGUUCAUCACCUACAUAUAACACCCAGCACUCAUCCCAACAAGUGCCCUCCUUAAUACCCAUCACCCAUUUGGCCCAUUCCCCCACCCCAAGCCCCCGGAAACCCUCAGUUGUCCUCUGUAUUCUCUUAUGGUUUGUCCCCCUUUCUGUUUUUAUCUUAUUUUUCCUUUAGGGAUCUAAUUACUGUUGUUACUAUUAAAAUCUAUUAGUAUCUAUUAUUAUACACAGUCCCUGCCAUCAAGGAGCCUCUUGUCUUUGAGAAACACAGACACAUACAUCAAUUUCAAGACAACAAGACUAGCGAAAAGAUCUUUAUCAUUGUCUAAACGCUAUGACCAAGCAUCCAGGGACAGCUUACGAACGAAGAGUACAUCUGAGUUAAGGCUUGAGGAGUAGGUUGGAAUGUUUUCAAAACAAGUUGGUAGGCAUUCCAAGUAAAUUGAAUAAAAUAUGUAAAAGCGUGAAGGUAUGAAAUGACAUGUUUGGGGAUCCACAGGUGCUAAAUAUAGCUAGAAUUUGGGGUUUUUAGAGAGGAGUCAGAGAUACGGAGCUGGGAAUAGAACUUGAACUUGUUGAUAAAGAGCUUUCAUGUUACAUUGAGGAGUUUGAGCUGUAUUCGUUAGACCGUGGGAGACUUUGGUGGUGUAAGUGUCACGAUCAGAUUCUUAGUUGACCCUGGUGGUGGAGUAGCUUGUGGAUUGGCAGGAGAUAAAGCAGAGAGACUGGUUAGGAGACUUUAAAAUAGUCCAGGUGAGAGAUGCUGAGAGUCGAAAGCAAGACAGGGGACAGGGAGGCAGAGAAAGGGUAGCGGCAGGAGGCAUGUUGUAUACGGCACCAGUAGGGCUUUGGUGACUGAAUGGAUGUUGGAAAAAGAGGGAGAGGGGAUUGUCAAAGAUAACCCUGUGUUGGGGUUCUCCAGAGAAACAGAACCAAUGGGGUGUGUGUGUGUGUGUGUGUGUGUGUGUGUGUGUGUGUUGUAGAGCUGGGGAGGAGGGAUUUAAGGAAUUAGCACCUGCAGUUGUGUGCACAGGCAAGUCUGAAACCUGCUGGGUAGACUUGGAGACUGGAGAUUCAGGCAGGAGUUAAUGUUGUAGUCUUGAGUCUGAAGGCAAUCUGGAGACAGAAUUCCUUCCUACUCAAAGGAUUUCAGUCUUUUCUGUUAAAGCCUUCAACUGAUUGGAUGAGGCCCACCCAUACUAUGGAGGGUAUUGUGCUUUUCUCAGUCUACCGAGUUAAAUGUUAAUCACAUCUAGGGGCACCUGGGUGACUCAGUUGGUUAAGCAUCCAACUCUGGAUUUCAUCUCAGGUCCCGAUCUCCAGUUGGUGAGUUCGAGCCCCACAUCAGGCUCUGCGCUGGCAGCACAGAGCCUGCUUGGGAUUCUCUCCCUCUCUCUCUGCCCCUCCCCUGCUCACUCUCUCUUAAAAUAAAUAAAUAAACGUUAAAAAACAAAAUAAAUGUUAAUCACAUCUAAAAAAUAACUUCACAGUGACAUCUGGUGUUUGACCAAAAGGAAAAAAAAAUGGGCACCAUCACCUAGCCAAGUUGACACAUAAAAUUAAGUGUUGUCACACCUCAUUGUGCCACUGCUAAAAUAUGACGUAGAGGAGAAAAGUUGAGAACAAACUUAGAAAAAAAAAACACCCAUCAAUUUAGAAGGUGUUAAAUUUCAACUGGUCAUGUCUAGUGGUCAAUUAGAAUAUAGGAGACAGAUCUUCCCUUCCUUUUUUUUUUAAAAUAGAUUUUAUUUUUAGGUAAUCUCUAUACCCAAUGUGGGGCUUGAAUUUACAAUCCUGAGAUUAAGAGUCACGUGCUGUACGGACUGAGCCAGCCAGGUGCCCCCCGUUAGACAGAGCUCUCUAAUGGGCCAAAUUUAGAGAUCUUAGUGGAAGCCAUGGGACAAGGUGAGGCUGUUCCACAAAAGACUGUUCAUUCAUUCAGCAACAAAUGCCUCCUCUGUGCCUCUGUGAGCCAGACGGCAGACCACGGUGUACUCAACGUAAUGUUCCUCUCCUCCUAGAGCAUAAAUGUGAGAAGACUUGGCAGACCGUGAGCAUAUAUGCAUAUGGACAUAAAUCCUAGGCUGUGAUGUAUCAUAUAUGCUGGUAUCGUAUACUGCUGUAUAACAAACCGUCCCCAGACCCGGCGGCCUGAAACAACUUUUAUUUGCUCACGGUUCCGUGCACUGGCGUUGGGGAGAGAUCAGCUGGAAGGGCGUGGCUCAGAUCCACCUGGUGAUGCGGGGUUCACGUGUGCAUCCAGCCCAGUUAGCAGGUGCUGGAUGGCAGGAGGCUGGGGCUGUCAGCAGAUGUGUCUGAGUCAUCCCCCGUGUGGCCCCUCCAGCAGGCUGGCUUCAGGCUUCCUCACCUGGCAGCUCGCGGUCUGUGAGGGCAUCCCCCAAGGUGCCAGCACGUCGCAGGCUUCUGGUUGGGUCACAUUUUCUAACGUCCCAGGGGCCAAGGCAAGUCACAUGGCUGAGCCCCGAGUCCGUGUGAGAGGCGACAGCACAAGAGCACGGGGACCACGAACAUGACGUAACACAGGUUAAGUGCUGUGCAGAAAAACAGGACAGAGUGAAAAGGGGAAGUGCUUUGGAAGAGACGGGGUGGGGGGCGGGUGAGAGAAGUGACUUUUGAGCAGACUUACAUGAGGGAAGACAGCCAGUCACAUGGAGUUCUAGAGGCAAGAGCGAGUGAGGAUCGUGAAGUGAGAACGAGUUUGUGCUCCAGGAACAAGAAGCUAAAAUGAGAAGAGCGGUGUGACUGGGGACUAGGGGGCAGAGGGAGGGAAGAUCAGUGAGUGAGGAGAAGAGGGCAGUGGGGCCUCAUGAAGGGCACAGCAGACCAUGCACGGUUUAGAUUUUGUUCUAAAAGACGGUAGAAAAUUAAUGAAGGGUGUUGUGCAAAACAUGACUUUGUUCAAUUUUCAUCUCUUUUUAACAGUGUUUUAUGUUUAUUUUUGAGAGAGAGAGAGAGAGAGAGAGCGUGAGCAGGGGAGGGGGCAGAGAGAGAGGGAGAUACAGAAUCCGGAGCAGGCUCCAGGCUCCGAGCUGUCAGCACAGGGCCCGACGUGGGCCUUGAACCCACAAACUGCGAAAUCAUGACCUGAGCCGAAGUCAGAUGCUUAACCGACUAAGCCACCCAGCCACCCCUCAUCUUUCUUUUUAAAGUUUAUUUAUUUUGAGGGGCACCCUGGGUGGCUCAGUCGAUUAGGCAUCUGACUUCGGCUCAGGUCAUGAUCUCACGGUUCAUGGGUUUGAGCCCCACGUUGGGCCCUGUGCUGACAGCUCAGAGCCUGGAGCCUGCUUCAGAUUCUGUGUCUCCCUCUCUCUCUGUUCUUCCCCCACUCGUGCUCUGUCUCUGUAUCUCAAAAAUAAGUAAAAAUAUUUAAAAAAUUAAAAAAAAUAAAGUUUAUUUAUUUUGAGAAAGAGUAUAUGACCACAUGCAAGCAGGUGAGGGACAGACAGAGAGCAAGUGAGAGAGAGAGAGAGAGAGAGAGAGAGAGAAUCCCAAGGAGGCUCCACACUCAGCACUAAGCCCAAGGUGGGGCCCGAUCUCAGGAACUGUGGGAGAUCAUGACCUGAGCUAAAAUCAAGAGUGGGGCACUUGACCGACUGAGCCACCCAAGAGCCCCUCAAUUUUCAGCUUGAAAAGAUUGUCCUGGUCAUUGAUGAGGAGACAAGCAGGAAGCAAGAUCAGUUAGCGAUUCCCAGACUAGCCAGAGAGAUUGGUAGCGGUGGAUAUGGUGAGAAAUGAUUGGAUGUGGAACUCAUCUGGGACACACAGCCAACAGGAAUUGCUGAUGCAUCCAAAGUAAGAUGUUAGGGACAGAGAGGAAUUACAAAUGACAUCUAACACCUGUAGACAUAGGGAAGAUGGGGGAGAGGAAAUUCUCUCUUGGGAGAGGAAUUCUUUCUUGGACAUACUAUACUUCGUAUGCCUAAUAUGGGUCCAAGUGCAGACAAACAGGAAACUGGAUAUAAAAACUGUGAGCUCAGGGAAGAGAAAGUCAACAUCUAAAUGACACAAAAGCCCCAGGAAUCCAUGGGAUAAAUUGGAAGAUGUAGUAGAAGGUACAGUGUUUUCUGCUUGUUCGGUUUUCAUAAUUAAGUAAGAAGUUGGGGGAUGGGAGGCAUAGUGACAUGAAGUUUAAAAAGAGAGGGAUUUUGAGAUAGUGGCCUUGGGACCCAGGAAACCAUGGGAGUCCCUUCACUAGGGAAGAGGGGGAGGGUGGAUGUGAUGGGCGGCCUCUGAGAAUCAUGGUCAUAAGCUCAAGGUGAGAGUGUGCUUGGGUGUUUCUCCAGCAACAUUCAGCCGCUCACAUACAGACUUAGAGAAUCGGGUUUACCGUGGAUGGGUUUUUUUUUUUAGGCUAAGUGGAGAAGAGGAAGGGAUAAGAAAGGAGUUGAGGGUGAACACAAUUGAAUGAUUAUAGUGAUGGACCAGAGAUUCUAAUCUGGGGCAGGAGGGAAGUGAAAGCGUUGAAGAAAAUGGUGGCUUCAUGGCUGGGAGGUCCUGAUGAGGUAACAUGGUUAAAAAGUGUACCUAGCAGGGAGUAUGCUAAAAAGCAGUGGAAAGGAGUCAGUGGAAGCUAGAAUUUAGAGGGGGAGGAGGUCAUGAGGCCGAAGGAUCAAGAAGUCAGGGCACCGGGUGGAUUGUUCAUGUGAAAGAAGUCUGCAGAAUUAUGCUGCAGAGAAAGUCAGUGAGCCAGAUACUUGGAUGAGGAGGGAGUGUAGAUGGGAUGGUCUAAUAGCAUUGCUCUAAAGAUCCUGAGGAUUACAUCGCGGAAAUGAGAGAAAUGGUCUGGAAGUACCAAGGGGACAGUUACGGCGUAGUAGGCCCGGCGGUACAGGGCUGGGAACGAGAGUCCUCACCCAAGAGGGCUGCAGGGAACAUGCCAAGUCUGAGUUAGAGCUGAAAGGUGGAACAUUGGAGCACCUGGGUGGCUCAGUCGGUUGAGCAGCUGACUUCGGCUCAGGUCCUGAUCUCGCCGUUCAUGAGUUCGAGCCCCGCGUCGGGCUCUGUGCCGACAGCUCAGAGCCUGGAGCCUGCUUCAGAGUCUGUCUCUCAGUCCCUCCCCCCACUCACACUCUGUCUCUCUCUCUCUCUCUCUAAAAUAAAUAAACAUUAAAAAUAUUUUAAAAGUUAAAAGGCGGAACAUAAAAGAGAGGAGGUGAUUAUGGGCAGUUUGCAGGUGACAGAUUGUGAGCUGCUGAGAACACAGGGUGCAGCAUCGGGAGAGAGGGAGGCACCUGUCACGUGUGGCCAAAGGGAGGAUAAGCUGUUCAGGCUCGCUCCAGGCAGAAGCAAAAUCAGAGUCAGCAAAGCUCGUGUGGACUUAGCAAUUGUUACUCACAUGAAGCCAAGUUUUGCUUCUUCGGCCAUGUCCUGAACUACUGAAAUUGCCAAAUAAGCACUCUAUGAAUAAUUUAUUAUCAUAGGUAAUGUUUACUAAGCUUUAAUUACGUAGCUCUCUUUGAAGAAAUCAAUCUCAUCCUAUAUAUCUUGGGUAUCUUCAAAGUUUUACAUUCUGACUUAAGUUUAUUUGAAAUUAAUGGAAAAAACCAGGAAUCUAAGGAAGAAUGAAUGUGAAAUCAUAUAUAACAUGCAAUGAGAUGAAGCUGUUCUGACCUGGGAACAACACCACACUUGGCACAGUAGCUGCCGUUGGGCCUACUACUUGGGCGACUUGGCCAUAGUCCACUGGAUUUGUUUGGUUUUUGUAGGUUCCGCAUUUGUGCAUUAAAAGGCAACAGGAUGGGGGCCUCACCCUGAAUCUUCUAGUUCUUUGGUGAUGACACUAAUUCCUGCCAUUCCCCCUGGGAUACCAUAGCACUUUUGAUUCACCAUCUUUUCCACGGAGGGGAGUCGUUUCAGAGCAUUCUCCUUGACGUCUGCACUGUGGUGGUAGUCUUACCCUAAGGCAAGGAACCAAUGUGAGGCGAGGUUGUGCAACGACCAAGCAUGUCUAGUUCCGUUAUAUGUUUGGGGUCUGGGGAAAUGACCUCCAGAUGGGGCCACGGACCCGCUGUAGCCAUUGUAACUUGGAUCUGGGCCUGGGAUCCACUUAUUACCUAGCCCCAAUAUUCCUGACUCUAACAGAGGCCUAUGAGGAUGAUCAGUGACUCUGGGUGUUAAUGUCUACCAAUCCCCUGUCAAAGAGUCGUCAAAACGCUUGGGUAUUCCUCAGCAUUGUUACCCAAGUAGAUCCCUUUGGUGAAGGACCGGGAGAUCAGACUUGUGUGGUAUGGCAGGGGGCUGGGGAGACAGUCUUGCCUUCAACCAGUGGGCUUGGGUCCAAAAACUGGCUCAGGCCGGGAAACCAGGCAAGGACUUGAGACUUUUUAUUGGGGUGGUGUCCCCUCAGCUUCCUGGUCAUCCAUCCUUGACUUUUUUUUUUUAAUGUUUAUUCAUUUUGAAAGAGUGUGAGUGCAUGUUUGAGCAGGGGUGGGCAACGAGAGAGGGAGGGAGAGAACCCUGCAUGGAGCCCAGUGCUGAGCUCAAUCACACAACCACAUGAUCAUGACACGAGCAGAAAUCAAGAUUCUGACGCUUAACCAGCUGAGCCACCCAGGUGCUCCAUCUUUGACUUCUUUUAAUCGUACAGAUUGAGCAGUCUCUUGUUGGCUACCCAUCUGUUUUGCCCUUAGGGAUGCAGUAACUAAUGGCAUUUUGAGUUAAUUCCCUUGGAUGUUCCUUUCUGGCUGGGAGAAGAGUUUUUCACAUUUGAGGGAAAGAGUCCUCACAGAUAUCUCUUGGCCAGAGGGACAGACCGUGGCAAGUGACAGCCGGUUGUCCAUCGAAGCUUGUUAAUACAAUCAGCACGUACACAUUCUCCCCUUACGUGAUGCAGAGUGUAACUGAAAAGGUAGCUGCCCAGCCUGGAGCUACAUUUCCCAGCAUCCCUUGCAUAGAAGUAAUGCCAGGUGAUGUCACUUCUAGACUGAGGAGGUUAAAAGGCAUAUGUUCUUAUCCAGUCAGUUGCUCUCUUUUUGCCGACUUUGUUUGUGGCUAGGGUAACCUCAGAAGAUAAAUGUUGAAGAAGGCAGAACCCCUGUCAGCUGGGCCCCUGAAUAGCUAUAGGAGCAGAGCCAAUACCCUCCUACCAUUACAUCCUUCUUGGUCAGCUAUGCAAGCAAGAAAUGGUCCUUAAUAGCAGUGGGCACUUGAAAUGUAGGUGUUCGCCAAAGCAGCUGGGGUUACCUAAUACAUACUAUGCUCUCUAUACAGUCUUUAUCAAAUCUACCUAGAAGAAAAUCGUUUCUGUAAGGAUGGAUUUUUACCAGAUUUGAAGGCGUGUCUCUGAUGGUCUGGCCAGAGUAUAGGUUAUGUGACAUAUGUAAACAUCACCGGAGAGGCCCAGGGACAUUUUUCAGAGCUGGGCAGUUAUUCACAAGUGAAAAUGAAGUAAAACUGGGGUGCCUGGGUGGCUCAGUCCGUUGAGCGUCUGACUCUUGAUUUUAGCUCAGAUCAUGAUCCCAGGGUCAUAGGAUCGAGCCCCGCAGCGGGCUCUGCUCUGAGCACAGAGCCUGUCUUAAGAUUUUCUCUCUCUCUCUCCCUCUACCCCUCUCUCCCACUUGCGCUCUCUCCUCCCCUCUCUAAAAUUAAAAGAAAAAAAUGAAUUAUAAUAAAGGACGAUGUUAAUACAAUCAACAAGUACACAUUUUCUCUGUCCUAAGCUCCUUGAUAUAAGCAGUCACGUGGGUCCUCGUAGGCUGUCCAUCUCACGUACCUCCAGUUCUCUGGCCGUGCUUAUCCGGGGCCCUCUGGAGGCCGUGGGUAUCGGUUUCCUAUUGCUGCUGUAAUAAGUUACCACCGACUCAGUAGUUUAAAGCAGUAGUUUAUUUUCUCACAGUUCUGGAGGUCCGAAAUCUGAAAUGAGACCCACAGGGCCAAGACCACGGUGUCACCAGGGCUGGCUCCUCCUGAGGGUUCCAAGCAAGAAUCCUUUGCAUGCCUGUAAGUUGCCUGCGUGGCUCCACUGUGACCCCUUCUCUGCAUUGCUACAGCCUGUGGCUGCUGUCACCACGUCUCCCACUACUGAGCCUGAUCUCCUGCCUCCCUCUUACCAGGACACAUGAUUGCACUGGCCCCACGAGGAUAAUCUCAAAACCCUCAGUGUGAUCACAUUUGCAAAGUGUCUUCUGCCGUUGAAGGUAACCCUCACAGGUCCCGGGGAUUAGGAUGUGGACACCUUCCAGCCUGCCACAGUGUGGGAUGUGGCUUCCAUGUGGCUUUGAAAGGCACCAGCUGACAAGGAAAUGGGAGGGGACUGGCUCCCCACCUAGUGCAAUUCAGCCAAUGGGAAACAGGAGACAGGACCAACUCAGGAAAUGUCUUUUCUUCCUUCUCCAGGACGGCUGCUCCGAGGCAGGAGUUUCCUAUACAACCUGUGCAGAGACAUCCCACGUGGCCCCGGUCUUGCUGAGCAACUGUCGGGUCUCCUGGUGGCCCGCGGGGAAGCAGGUGCGAGCACGGCAGGGCAGUGCUUUGCAUGGCUUCCCAUCCUUCUCUGCCUCGCUCCCUUACCCUCGCUGCCCCGGCUGCACUUUCCAAAGCACUAGCACUUGACCUCUGUUCUCCGGGGGGAGGGGAGUCUCAGCCAGGGAGGCCCCCACAUUGAAAGUUACCAUUUCCUCUUUCGCUUAAGAACCAAUUCCUGAGCAUCUAGCGUGUUCAGACCUGGUCCUGGUUAAGAGUGACGAUAACAAAUACAAGAAGAUUUCUGCUCUUCUAGAGAUGACCUUCUAAUUGCAGAAGACUUACCAUAAACAAUUAAGUUAGAAAAUGCUAUUUCGUGGCAAGUGCUCCUUACGGCACGGUGAUACAGUAAAGGCUCUUCUAUAUUUGGUGGUGAGGAAAAGCCUUUCUGGAGAGGUGACAUUUAAGCUGAGGCCUGAACGACAAAGAGUCACAGGUGCAGAAUCAGGGGAAGGAGAAGUGGGCUGAGUGGCCAUGUGACAUCACAUGGGGACCCAGUCUUGCCUUCAACCAAUUUGCAACCGAUGUGCUUCUCACACGGAUGGUUCUAGGUGGCAUGGUCUGGUUGAACAGCAGCACAACUUUACUUUUAAAAAAUUCAUGAUUCCACCGAGCAACGGAAGGCCAGAUGGUUUAAAAUGCAAAAUAAACACUUGAAGCGGGAGCUUUCUGCUCGCCCGUAAAUGGGACUUUCUCUUUGUCGUGAAGGGAUGUGUUUUAUUUUAGAAGGAAGAUUUCCUCCUGCUGUGUUUUCAGCUCAACCUCAUUUCAGAGGAAGGACUGUGAAACCAGAAGUUCUGAGUCUCUAGCUCCCUCACGUGUAUCAGACAAAAAUUGGGUUAUAAGCCCAUUUCCUUCUGUCUCCAGCGUGGUUUUGUUUUUAUGAUUAGCUGGUGUUUGUGUCACGGUGCUUUCUGCUUUGCCUCAUUUCAAAUGCUUUUGCAAGAUCAAUUUACAUCGUAACUCCGAGCAUGGCCUAAAGGAGAUGUGGGCUUCGUAACCAGAGGACACAACAUCUCUUCAGAUUUUCUCUUCGAUAGUAAAUGUGUUUAAUAACACUGUAAAAUGUAUUAUGAAAAAAAGUUAUAAAUGGUUGCUGCUGCCGUAUAGAAAUGCAGUUGGGUUUUAAAGGAAUUUCGAUGUUUUAUCUAGUGACCUUGCUACAUUCAUCAACUCUAAUAGAAAAUCCAACACGGUCGGUUGAUAAACUAGGUGCUUCAUCACGUUAGCUGUAAAUAGUGACACUUUUAAAUCUCACCCAUUCCUCAUACGUUUAUUCCUCUUUUUGGCUUACUGGCAUGGCCAGAACUUCCUCAGCGGGGUGGGGGAGGGGGGCGGCACUUAUCUGUCCCCCCUGUGUCAGCUGAGUGGCCUUGCAGGCCGGGGGCUGGAGUCAUCUGCAGGCCCAGCAUUUGCAUGUCUGGCAGUUGCUGUUGGGAAGAUGUGCCCCUUUGGCUCCAAAAGCACGUGUCCCGUGUCCCAAGAGCCUAGCAGAUGCUGUAGUGCCCCCCCCCCCCCCCCCCCGCUGCCCCCGCCGUUUGACCUUAGCUUUGGGUGUCAUGUGGGAACCCUCCUGUCACACUCUGUCGGGAGAGGAGAAUUAGACCCCACCUUUUCAUGGGAGGAUCGUCAAAGAAUGUGUGGAUGUGUCUAAAGACAGCACGGUGGGUUCUCCGGCCCAAAUUAUUUACAUUUCUCCCUCACACGUUUCUGGGCACGUGAUGCCAAUCCCAUGACUGGGGCUCAGCUCCACUGACUGGGAAUCAUUCUCCAUGGGUUCUUGGAUAUACCCUGAGUCAUCCUUCUUUUUUUUCCAUCAGUGCCACAGACUUCUAUACCUCCCGGUUUCCCCUGUGGGAAUGACGGUCUCCAUGGCAGUUAUGGGUGCCCCACGACUGUCCAUGGGGGACAGAAAACUUGCCUCUGUAGCACACAGCUCUUCCAGUCCGUGUUAACCAGCUGCACUUGAGAAACUACACCCAACGAGCCUCGUUCACCCUGGAACUUGAUUGACGUGACAAAAUCUUGGGCUUGAGGCCCGAACCCUGGAUGCCUUAAUAAGCAAGGCUUUGAUGGGUCUGGAGAGGGAGGGAGUGUAUUUUGCAUAGAGCUAGUGGCUGGAAUAAUCUGCAGACGCACCCGCGUGUUGAGGUUGAGAAGACCGACCAGUUGGGGGACAGUCCCUGUGGGGCUUGUCUGUCUCUCUGUGGCCUCCUUACACAGGCGUGUUUAGCACAGAAUCUUCAGGUUGGUGAGAUUUCUUUCAUGUCUGCCUUGUCCUCCUCAGGUGUAGGUGGCCCUGGCCUCACAAGCUAUACGGUGUCAGUUCUACCACAUUCUAUCAGAAGUGGAGUGACUAUGGCUGGCCAAUAUUCACGGGGAUUAGAGUUCACCUUUUUUAUGGGAGGGGUUAUCAGGAAGUUGCAAUGUUUUUUUUUUUUUUAUUUUUCUAAUGUUUAUUUUGAGACAGAAAGAGUGUGAGUGAGGGAGGGGCCGAGAGACGGAGAGAGGGAAUCUCAAGCAGGCUCCGCACGGUCAGCCUGACGUGGGGCUACAUCUCAUGAAUCCAUGACCUGAGCCGAAACCAAGAGUUGGAUGCUCCGCCGACUGAAUCAUGCAGGUGCCCCAAGAAGUUGCAAGGUGUAUUAUUUUGUUGUUGUUGUUGUUUUAAGGUUAUUUAUUUUGAGAGGAGGGUGGGUGGAGAGAGAGAGAGGGAGAGAAUCCCAAACAGGCUCCACACUGUCAGUGCAGAGCCCAGCGUGGGGCUUUAUCCCACAAACCAGGAGAUCGUGAGUGACCUGAACUGAAACCAAGAGUUGGACACUCAUCUAAAUGAGCCACCCAGGCGCCCCAAGAAGUUGAACAUUUUUUAAAACUACCACACACGCUAAAUUGCAAGGGAGGCUGGGGAAUGGAUUCUGUAGCUUAGCGUUGACCGCAAGCUACGAUUUAGGGGAAUUCUAUUAUAAAAGGUCAAAGAAGAAAAAGGACAAAUGGUCAAAGGGCAGAUCCCCAGGGGAUGGUUAGCAGUCUCUGCCCCAGGCAGCUUUGCAAGAGAUUAAAAUCAAAGCCAGGUUGUCACAGCCGAAGAGAUUAUGAGCAGGGCGGAAGGUCAUUUCAGGCAAGAGAAGAAUCUGUGUGGACGGAUACCUGGAAAAAGGACUGAGGGGGUCACGUGUGUCUGUCUACAUCAGGGGAAGCUGGUGAUGGCACAGUGGUAAAUGAGGGGCGUGUCCACAUAAAGAAAAAAAGAAAGGAUUUGGAUUUUCGGGUAGCUUUGUGAGAGAAGCAAGCUUUCAGACAAACUUGGAUAUGAAUGCUCUGUCCCCUGUAGUUUUGUCAUUUUUCUGCCAAGUGUGCUUAGAUUAUAAAAGUGGCUGUAAUUCUUCAACCUCGAGUGACUUUGCAGCAACUUCCAUCAUGAUACGGAGGGGCGCCUGGGUGGCUCAGUCUGUUGGGAGUCCAACUUUGGCUCAGGUCAUGAUCUCGCAGUUCGUGAGUUCGAGCCGCCCAUCGGGAUCUGUGCUGACAGCUCGGAGCCUGGAACCUGCUUCGGAUUCUGUGUCUCCCUCUCUCUCUGCCCCUCCCCUGCUCAUGCUCUGUCUCUAUCUCAAAAAUAAGUAAAACAUUAAAAGAAAAAAAAAAGAUAUGGAGUCUGGUUCCCCACCUCUUGGCUCUGGUCUGGCAUUGGGUCUGGCUUUGGCCAGUAGAAUGUCGCAGACGUGACAGUGUGCCAGUUUUGAGCGUAAGCCCCAAGAGGCUCUGCCUAUACCUACUCGCUUUCACGAGACCUUGCCAAAUGCCGAGAAUCAGCCAAGGCCAGCUGACCGCGACCGAGAGAGAGAUCACAUGGAACAGAGCUCAGCCCUGUCACUGAGGCCCCAGACACAUGAGAAAGCUGAGGCAGCAUCCACAGAGUUGACCCGGAUGCAACCGAACUAAGUCAUGAAUAAGCCCAGCUCCAACUGAUGACCUAUAGAAUCGCGACCUGAAUAAAUUGUUGUUUCAGCCACUGAAUGCUGGAACGAUUUGUUGCAUAGCAAAGCUGUUAGAGCAAGUUAAAGAACCUGCUUUCUGGAUCUCAGGAUCCUUAGGGUAAACACGGGUUUGCUAGCACCUCCACCAUGGCUACUGGGAGGCCACGAUGGGAGGGAGGAUGGUACGCGAAGCCUGAAACAGAAUGUUCUGAGCAAAUGGUACGCUAAUGUCAUGGAUCACAUCAGAGAAAGAUGGUCCAGGGAAAGACACAAUGAGAGUAAAAGGAGGCAUUACUUAGAAAUCCCCAUUCUGCUCAUUUCUGUCUCCUGGAUUUUCCUCGGUCGUGUGUUCUACUGGCUUGUGCUCACGUAUCACAAAUCUGCAUUUUUCGGCUCUGCUGUCUUUGAAAACUCCCACCCUCACACUCUCACUUUCUGGGCCCCUUCGACACAUUAGCAGGUGGUCCGAUUAGAGUCAACUUGUUUCAUCUAUUUAUACCUUUUACCCCCCAACUUGUCUCCAAGCAAUUAAGACAAUUUUUCUAUUUCCUUUGCAAACCCCACUGAGAUUGUGUGUGUGUGUGUGUGUGUUUUAACCCAAAUAAGAAUUUAGUAAAUAUUUAGUAAAUUAAAGUCAACUAAAUUAUGUUGGGGUUGGUGUCGAUCAUUGGGGUUACCUUAUUUCUAAUCAGGAGGCCUGUUACCUUUGCUCAAUGUCAAGUAAACUUACAGAGAACAGUUCCCCCAAGAGAUCAGAGUUACCAGAAUCCCUCAUUUUCCUUUCUGGCACGUCUUGAGGGAUUGAUGAGAAUUCUAAUUCGGCAACUAGUUCCCACUGGCAAUGUCUGGAUGCCUAGGGGGAGUCGACCCUGUUUAGGUUUCAAGCCACUAAUCAACUGUAAUCCUGUUCUUACUUGAAAGGGAAACGAAGUCUCUGGGAAAACUAAAGAUAGGAACAAAUGAUACACUUUGAAAACCUCUUUAAUUUUCCCACAGAAACUUUGCCCCACACAAAGUGCUUAAAGCUUUCUAAGUAUCUUUUUACUUGCUUUAGAGGUUUUCUUGUGAAGAAGAUGCAACUUUCUUAUUGAAAAAUUGUUGACUGAUGUGUCCUUUCUGCGGUGUGCAGGACCAAGCUUUCGGAGCCAACCACACAUCCCAUCCAGCUCCACAUUGUGAUGUCACCUUGGAGCCUGAAACGAGCCAUGGUGGGAAUGAUGGACGCCAUGAAAACCGGCCAACACUACAAAGCGGGACUGUUUUCCUCAGGGAGAGCCGGUGGCUAAACAUUUGCCAGCACAUCCCUGCCUAAGCUCCAGGUACCUGGGAAUUACAAAUUACAGCUUUCCUCCUCUUGAGCACAAACACAAAGCUUCACCAGGAAAACAUCAGGCACCUUUCUCCCUGCCGGGCAGACUACUCUUUAGUGGGGGAGCCCAUAGAAUGGGGACAAAAUGAAAUCAUGACCAAGGUCUGUGCUGAGUAGGGAAGAGGGUGGCGUGAGACAAGGCGAGAGGCAGGCAGGACGGAGAACACAGCCCUGGAGUAGAGAUUCGUAUGUUGGUGAGACAAAGUUAUAGGAGAGCUUUUAGGAGAGGGAUGCCUUUGGGUACUUUAUAAGGAUCCCUCCAGAUGUCUGGUCUGUCAACAGCAUAUAUAGGGGGGAGGGUUACUUAGAAAUCCCCAUUCUGCACCUGAGGUGGUAGAACACAGAGGCCAGUGAAGAUGCUGUCUGGAGCUAGGAUAAGGGAGUUGGAGCAUGGCUCCUGACCUUUGCCCUAACAGCCGCCCCACACCAUCUCCUCCCCCAUGCCUGCGCUUGGGCUACUUCCAGGGCCUUCCGCCAUCCUGCAAGGCCAGCUUAAGACCCAGCACUCCCUCACCUGCAGUCUUCCCUGGCCAUCCCGGUCACAUCUCUACCUGCUCUGGACAGGCAUGACGCUGGAUUUCUUGGGCCAUGUGAAGGGAGGACAGUGCCGCUCUCCUGGAGAGGCUUUCGUCCGUAUGCUGAUGGCUCGAGUAGAAAUGAGAGAUGAUGCUGAGCCAGUCUAUGCUGAUGAGGACGUGCAGGGAGAGAAGGGAAGCAGAGGGCUCGUUCAAAAUAGCGGACAAGAAAUGCUUGAAGCAAGAACCUCAAAACUGGGGGCUCUAGUCCUUGUAUAAAACGUGGAAGCAAAAUCCUAAUUAUAACGGACCAUUGUGAUCCCGUUCUGUGGUUCUGCAAAAUGUUACUAUUGGGGAAACCAGGCGAAGGGUAUCUGGGUCUGCCUGUAUGUGUUAAUACAGCUUCGUCUGCAUCUGUACCCCUUCUAAUAACACAUUAAAACAAAGGAAGCCGCUGACCUGUAAAGGCCUAUGUGUAGAGACCUGUGUUCUGGCUUUGGUGCUGCUGCAGUGCCUAAGUUGAGGCACUCUGCCUUCC
rnacentral:lncRNA from 1 species